GAUGAACGCUGGCGGCGUGCCUAAUACAUGCAAGUAGAACGCUGAAGGAAGGAGCUUGCUCUUUCCGGAUGAGUUGCGAACGGGUGAGUAACGCGUAGGUAACCUGCCUGGUAGCGGGGGAUAACUAUUGGAAACGAUAGCUAAUACCGCAUAACAGUAGAUGUUGCAUGACAUCUGCUUGAAAGGUGCAAUUGCACCACUACCAGAUGGACCUGCGUUGUAUUAGCUAGUUGGUGAGGUAACGGCUCACCAAGGCGACGAUACAUAGCCGACCUGAGAGGGUGAUCGGCCACACUGGGACUGAGACACGGCCCAGACUCCUACGGGAGGCAGCAGUAGGGAAUCUUCGGCAAUGGACGGAAGUCUGACCGAGCAACGCCGCGUGAGUGAAGAAGGUUUUCGGAUCGUAAAGCUCUGUUGUAAGAGAAGAACGAGUGUGAGAGUGGAAAGUUCACACUGUGACGGUAUCUACCAG
rnacentral:rRNA from 1 species